rnacentral:rRNA from 1 species
GACUAUGGCCGUACCCCCCUGAACGUGCUCGAUCUCAUCUGAUCCCGGGAGCUAAGCAGGGUCGGGCCUGGUUAGUACUUGGGCGGGAGAAAAGCUCAGGGAACUACUUGCA